AGUUUUCCUUUUCAGGUACAUGUUUGAAUUGAAAGCAAGUGUACAUAGCAUAAAGGUGACAUAAGCACAUGCUUGAUGUGAAAGCAAGUUAACAUAGCAUAUAGGUGAUGUACGAGCAGAAAAACCUAUGCCUAACCAACAUAAAGUAACAUGUGAUUUUGGGACUAUCAAAUUGAAGAUAAAUUUGUGUAUGAUUUACUCAGAUGCUGCCUACACUCAUUCUCCAGCAAUCACAAGUUUCUUCAGUUUAGCAACUACCCAAUCCAUGCAGUAGCGGCAAGACAGUCUCGGGAAGUGCUCCUCGAGUUGCUCUUAAGUCCUUUCUCUAAAGCAUGGAAGAGAGGAC